rnacentral:rRNA from 1 species
UCCGGAUUCAUUGGGCGUAAAGAGCGUGUAGGCGGCCAGGUAGGUCGGUUGUGAAAACUGGAGGCUCAACCUUCAGAGGUCGACCGAAACCAUCUGGCUAGAGUCCGGGAGAGGAGCGUGGAAUUCCUGGUGUAGCGGUGAAAUGCGCAGAUAUCAGGAGGAACACCAAUGGCGAAGGCAGCACUCUGGGACGGUACUGACGCUGAGACGCGAAAGCGUGGGGAGCAAACAGG